CACUAAGAAAGUUGUAAAUAAAAAAUUGUGAGUCCAUUUAAAUGACUUUGUUUCCUUGAAAAAUUUAGAAAUUGUCCAAGGAGUCUGCUAACUGGUAGAGCACAGGGGAUUCACUGGAUUGUCUGAUCUGUGACAACAUGCACGUUGAACAAGUAUUUCUUAAUGAUGCUCUCAUCUUCAUUUAGCCUUGUGGUGUCAGAGAAUCCACAGAACUCCAAACUGGAUCAUGGCCAUUGCAAGCUGCAUGCUGAGUGAAGAAGUCCAGAUUCCUAUUGGUGUUUUCGUCUAAAGAUCUAGGCAAGGAUAAUUGAACUGAUCACUGUGUAUUUUUGCAGAGCAUGAGUAUAGGAAAUCAAAGUAUAUUGGCU
rnacentral:lncRNA from 1 species